UGGGGAAUCUUGCGCAAUGGGCGAAAGCCUGACGCAGCAACGCCGCGUGAGGGAUGAAGGUCUUCGGGUUGUAAACCUCUUUCGAGCAGGGACGAUUGUGACGGUACCUGCAGAAGAAGCUCCGGCCAACUACGUGCCAGCAGCCGCGGUGAUACGUAGGGAGCGAGCGUUGUCCGGAUUCAUUGGGCGUAAAGAGCUCGUAGGCGGCUCAGUAAGUCAGGUGUGAAAUCCUCAGGCUCAACCUGGGGCUGCCAUCUGAUACUGCUGUGGCUAGAGCCCGGUAGGGGUCCACGGAAUUCCUGGUGUAGCGGUGAAAUGCGCAGAUAUCAGGAGGAACACCAGUGGCGAAGGCGGUGGACUGGGCCGGUACUGACGCUGAGGAGCGAAAGCGUGGGGAGCGAACAGGAUUAGAUACCCCAGUAGUCC
rnacentral:rRNA from 1 species